rnacentral:tmRNA from 1 species
GACCGGGGUUCAAUUCCCCGCGACUCCACCA